rnacentral:rRNA from 1 species
CCUACGGGUGGCAGCAGUGAGGAAUAUUGGUCAAUGGCCGAGAGGCUGAACCAGCCAAGUCGCGUGAGGGAAGAAUGUCCUAUGGAUUGUAAACCUCUUUUGUCAGGGAGCAAAGUCACCCACGUGUGCGUGUUGGAGAGUACCUGAAGAAAAAGCAUCGGCUAACUCCGUGCCAGCAGCCGCGGUAAUACGUAGGGGGCGAGCGUUAUCCGGAUUCACUGGGUGUAAAGGGAGCGUAGACGGCCAUGCAAGCCAGGGGUGAAAGCCCGGGGCUCAACCCCGGGACUGCCGUUGAAACUGCAUGGCUGGAGUGCGGGAGGGGCAGGCGGAAUGCCUGGUGUAGCGGUGAAAUGCGUAGAUAUCAGGAGGAACACCGGCGGCGAAGGCGGCCUGCUGGACCGCGACUGACGUUGAGGCACGAAAGCGUGGGGAGCGAACAGGAUUAGAUACCCUAGUAGUC